CCUACGGGAGGCAGCAGUGGGGAAUCUUAGACAAUGGGCGCAAGCCUGAUCUAGCCAUGCCGCGUGAGCGAUGAAGGCCUUAGGGUCGUAAAGCUCUGUCCUAUGGGAAGAUAAUGACGGUACCAUAGGAGGAAGCCCCGGCUAACUACGUGCCAGCAGCCGCGGUAAU
rnacentral:rRNA from 1 species